rnacentral:rRNA from 1 species
GACGAACGCUGGCGGCGUGCUUAACACAUGCAAGUCGAACGGAAAGGCCCUGCUUUUGUGGGGUGCUCGAGUGGCGAACGGGUGAGUAACACGUGAGUAACCUGCCCUUGACUUUGGGAUAACUUCAGGAAACUGGGGCUAAUACCGGAUAGGAGCGCCUGCUGCAUGGUGGGGGUUGGAAAGUUUCGGCGGUUGGGGAUGGACUCGCGGCUUAUCAGCUUGUUGGUGGGGUAGUGGCUUACCAAGGCUUUGACGGGUAGCCGGCCUGAGAGGGUGACCGGCCACAUUGGGACUGAGAUACGGCCCAGAGUCCUACGGGAGGCAGCAGUGGGGAAUAUUGCACAAUGGGCGGAAGCCUGAUGCAGCAACGCCGCGUGCGGGAUGACGGCCUUCGGGUUGUAAACCGCUUUCGCCUGUGACGAAGCGUGAGUGACGGUAAUGGGUAAAGAAGCACCGGCUAACUACGUG